UUGUGAUGUAUAUUCAAAAUCUUGUGAUGUAUGUUCGAAAUCUUGUGAUGUAUAUUCAAAAUCUUGUGAUGUAUAUUCGAAAUCUUGUGAUGUAUAUUCUAUAAUCUUGUGAUGUAUAUUCUAUAAUCUUGUGAUGUAUAUUCAAUAUCUUGUGAUGUAUAUUCGAAAUCUUGUGAUGUAUAUUCUAUAAUCUUGUGAUAUAUGUUCAAAAUCUUGUGAUUUAUAUUCAAUAUCUUGUGAUGUAUAUUCGAAAUCUUGUGAUGUAUGUUCAAUAAUCUUGUGAUGUUUGUUUGAUAAUCUUGUGAUGCAUAUUCGAAAUCUUGUGAUGUGUGUUCUACAAUUCAGUGAUGCGUGCAAUAUGACGCAACAGUUUUAUUAGAAAGUAAGGACAAUUUUCAUUGGUUAGAAAUAACGAAAGUAGCUGGAGCGAUUGGGAAAACUAUGCAGCUGGUGAGAAAAAAAAACAGUCAGUCAGUUUGUUUAUUACAGCACUAAUCACGAGAUGCACGAAUGUUGACCCUUGUGACAUAAUGGAGAUAUUUCGGCCUGCUAGGGAAAAUACUCAGUAAACGUAGAAAUAUUGACAAAAUUUGUAGACGAGCUGAUCGCCAACCAGGAGAUCAAAAUGAUAGCAUCUGCUCCUGCCACUUAAAGGGUGGUAAGAAGGAGGGGGACCCUGCAUAUUUUGCACGGAAUGAAGGAAAGGCCAUGGAUUUCUCUGAUCCUGAAUGUACAAAAAGGAGGAAAAAACUCAAAAGUGAGGAGUCCCUGUCAUCUUCACAGAUGGACCAGUUGCAGAUUCCACAAGCACCAAAAUGUCAAGAUCAAGAAAAAUUGAUAUCGGAGCACAACUACUCAGCAUCCGGCACAUUUAACUGUACUUAAGAAAUGCAGCGCCUCUCAACAGAAAUACAACAACUGGAAAAGGAAUUGCUUGCCCUAAAAAUAGAGUCUAGUUAAAGGAAGCCAAUGUCAAUUCACGAUAUUAAAGACAACAAAGAGAAGAUGCUUUUGUAUACAUCCCUACAGUAUGACAUAUUUGAAAUAUUAAGUCAGAUUGUUAUAACGAUUUGAACUCGAUUAUUAUAAUGGCUGGACUCCAAUGAAACCAGAGGACCAACUGCUCAUUGUACUAGUGAAGUUAAAACUCAAUCUGCGGGACAUUGACUUGGCUCAUAGAUUCUGUGUCAGUCGACCAACAGUUUUGAACAUCUUUCAUACCCUUGUUCAUGCACUACACAAGAUGCUGUCUGAUGGCGUAGUCAAUGAAUGUGUUCCAAGUCAGCUAAAAUGCAAAGGUUUGUUUUAAAAUUUAUCAUAAUGACUUGCAAAAAUUUUAUGCAGUUACAUUUAUUGUAUUCUUGAAAGUUUGACUGUA